rnacentral:rRNA from 1 species
CCUACGGGAGGCAGCAGUGAGGAAUUUUCCGCAAUGGGCGAAAGCCUGACGGAGCAAUACCGCGUGAGGGAUGAAGGAUUUUGGUCUGUAAACCUCUUUUCUCAAGAAAGAAGUUCUGACGGUACUUGAGGAAUAAGCAUCGGCUAACUCCGUGCCAGCAGCCGCGGUAAUACGGGGGAUGCAAGCGUUAUCCGGAAUGAUUGGGCGUAAAGCGCCUGUAGGUUGUUUAUUAAGUCCGUUGUUAAAGCCUAGGGCUCAACCCUAGAAAAGCAAUGGAAACUAGUAGACUAGAGUAUGGCAGGGGUAGAGGGAAUUUCUAGUGUAGCGGUGAAAUGCGUAGAUAUUAGAAAGAACACCGGUGGCGAAAGCGCUCUACUGGACCAUUACUGACACUCAGAGGCGAAAGCUAGGGUAGCAAAAGGGAUUAGAUACCCCUGUAGUCCUAGCCGUAAACGAUGGAUACUAGAUGUUGUGCAUUAUGUACAGUAUCGUAGCUAACGCGUUAAGUAUCCCGCCUGGGGAGUACGCUCGCAAGGGUGAAACUCAAAGUAUAAGUGACGNGUGAGUCGCGACGAGCACGAGGAGGUAG